rnacentral:rRNA from 1 species
UACGUAGGUGGCAAGCGUUGUCCGGAUUUACUGGGCGUAAAGCGAACGCAGGCGGGCCUUUAAGUAGGAAGUGAAAGGUUGGAGCUUAACUCUAACACUGCUCCCUAUACUGGAGGCCUUGAGUUUCGGAGAGGAAGACGGAACUGCAGGUGUAGCGGUGAAAUGCGUUGAUAUCUGCAGGAACACCAAUGGCGAAAGCAGUCUUCUGGACUAAUACUGACGCUCAGGUUCGAAAGCCAAGGUAGCAAACAGG